rnacentral:rRNA from 1 species
GACGAACGCUGGCGGCGCGCCUAACACAUGCAAGUCGAACGAGAAAGAGGGAGCUUGCUCCCUUGAUCGAGUGGCGAACGGGUGAGUAACGCGUGAGGAACCUGCCUCAAAGAGGGGGACAACAGUUGGAAACGACUGCUAAUACCGCAUAAGCCCACGGCUCGGCAUCGAGCAGAGGGAAAAGGAGCGAUCCGCUUUGAGAUGGCCUCGCGUCCGAUUAGCUAGUUGGUGAGGUAACGGCCCACCAAGGCGACGAUCGGUAGCCGGACUGAGAGGUUGAACGGCCACAUUGGGACUGAGACACGGCCCAGACUCCUACGGGAGGCAGCAGUGGGGAAUAUUGCACAAUGGGGGAAACCCUGAUGCAGCGACGCCGCGUGGAGGAAGAAGGUCUUCGGAUUGUAAACUCCUGUUGUUGAGGAAGAUAAUGACGGUACUCAACAAGGAAGUGACGGCUAACUACGUG